GACGAACGCUGGCGGCGUGCUUAACACAUGCAAGUCGAACGGAAAGGCCCUGCUUUUGUGGGGUGCUCGAGUGGCGAACGGGUGAGUAACACGUGAGUAACCUGCCCUUGACUUUGGGAUAACUUCAGGAAACUGGGGCUAAAACCGGAUAGGAGCUCCUGCUGCAUGGUGGGGGUAGGAAAGUUUCGGCGUUUGGGGAUGGACUCGCGGCUUAUCAGCUUGUUGGUGGGGUAGUGGCUUACCAAGGCUUUGACGGGUAGCCGGCCUGAGAGGGUGACCGGCCACAUUGGGACUGAGAUACGGCCCAGACUGCUACGGGAGGCAGCAGUGGGGAAUAUUGCACAAUGGGCGGAAGCCUGAUGCAGCAACGCCGCGUGCGGGAUGACGGCCUUCGGGUUGUAAACCGCUUUCGCCUGUGACGAAGCGUGAGUGACGGUAAUGGGUAAAGAAGCACCGGCUAACUACGUG
rnacentral:rRNA from 1 species